rnacentral:lncRNA from 1 species
AGUAAUGAUGUGUCAGCUCUGAGUCUAAAUUUCAAGAAGCAUAUUCUGCUUCCAUACUCUGUUGGAAUUCUGUCACCACCAUUUUGCUAAGCUAGGACUAGCCUGCUGGAAGAUUAAGAGACCAUGUAAGGAAAUUCAGUAGUUCCAGAAACUCUUUUUGACCAGCUGAUAGCCAGCUGACUUACAGCUGCCUACACCAAUCUACAACUGACCACAGAGAUGUGGUAUAACAAGAAUGGAGUCAAGUUUUGGUCUUUUCAGUUCUCAGCAUUUUGCCCCAGAGAGUUAUUAACAGCUUUUGCAAGUCAGAAGUAAAAAUUAAAGUGGAACUCAAACCAUGCUCUGACCCAAACUUAUGUUUGAGGACGACGUAGGCUCAUUUGGUGUAGGCUGAACUGAGUGGUCCCUAAGUGAAAGGAGAUGAAAAUUGAAGGAAGAAGAGGGGCAAAAAUCCCCAACACUAAGAGUAGGAAGAGGAGCUGGAUGGUUUCUACAAAUGGCAGACAGGACUCCCGAAUGGGAAGAGAAGAGGGAAACCGGCUGCAGGAAACAGAAGUAGGUUAACUGUUGAACCACGAGGUGUUGGCAACAGUAGUGAACAUUUCAUUUAUUAGGCCUGGGGUUGGAGAACAGGAGUCAGAAAACUCCAAUUCCACACAUGGCACCAUGCCUAAAAGAUGGUGGGGGGCAGAAUUGGUGGAAACAUCAGCUGAUCAGAGGAGACACAGCCCCAGUGGUAACUGCUAUGAAUUAAGAGUUUGG